ensembl:lncRNA
UGGGUUAAAGGAUCCGGCAUUGCCACAGCUGCAGCGUAGGUCGCCACUGUGGCAACUGUGGCUCGGAUCUGAUCCUUGGCUCGAGAACUCCAGAUGCGGCAGGGCAGCCGAAAAAGAAAGAAAGAACUAAAGCGGAGGCCAGAGUUUGAGGAAAGUGUCUCAGUUUGGCUUGCCUGCCUUCGUCCUGCGACAGGGCCAGGUGCAAGUGAGAGAGGAGGUGGGGCCGAACGUCUCCAUCAACGUGGUAAUUAAUUGGGCUUGUGGUCACCUCACACCUCUCAUUUGAGGCUGUACAGGUGCUCCACUGACAUGGAUGAAUUAGGCCUCCCACACCUCCUGUGGGGUUUGGACAGAUGUUAGAUUCCAGAGGCCCCGUCUUGCUCAUCUUCAGGGCUGAGCUCCAGGGGUUUGGUCGGACGGCGACAAAAGCAUCGGCCACCUGACCUGUCCCUGCCAGAGAAGGCCGGGCAGAUGGGGAGUCUCUGGAAACAGGUGCGCAUCACCUUCCCACACCCAGCGUCCUUGGCCAGGGCCCCACCUGCUGCCUUUGGCAUUUGAACGGAGGCUACUGCCUUGGCAGAGCAAACAGGGAGGGUCGGGUCCUUCUUUGGGUGGCAAACUCAUGCAGGAGAAGGAAAAGGUUCUUUUCGCAAGCAAAAAAGGUUCAUGAGUAAUGGCUUCUGGAAUUUCUCCUCAGAGAAUAUAACCUCGUCAGCUCUAGGCUUCUGGCUUCUGAAUAAUUGUUCUCAGUAAUAAUAUAGAACCCCUUCGUAAUAAUACAUCCUUCUGUGCGUUCAAGAAAGUAGCAAUUUAUUCCAGGCAAGACCAGAAAAAAAAAAAAAAAAGUGGCCUUUAUUCAUCUUGAUACCUGCCCACCCCAGAGAUCAAGCAGCGAGGCGGCCGGUUAAUAAGCUUAGGCUUUUGGGACGUCUUUAAGGAGUGCCUGUGGCACGCUCAGAAGUAGGGGGUGGUGGCGCCAGGAGAGAGUCAGGAAAAAGAAGCCGUAAGAGCCGAGGAUAUUUUCUGGGAAGGUAAACCCUAAAGACACGCCGAACUGGCUUUCCUUAAGUGCACUUUGAAGAAAGCGAUGGUGAAUUGAUAUGCAGCAUCCGUUGCGCCCUCUCUUCGAGAGCUACAUAGGGCAUUUCCCAGACUCCCUUGCAGCUAAGGUUCCAGGUGUGAUUAGGUUCAGCCAAUCAGACGGCCUCGUGUGAAAGCUGACUUUGGGUCACAGGGAAAGACAGAGAGAGGCAUGCAUUUUGCUGAUGUGGCUCAUGCUGAGGCGGUGGCUUCUGAUUGCGUGCGUAAUGGCUCCCUGAUCAUGACAGCUCAGUGCUGUGGUGUGGCUUUAGGGGACUUUCCUGGAAGCUCAGCAUUGAGUAGGUCUCAUCAGCCCUCCAAAUAAGCCUGUUAACAUCUUACUACCCUGCAAGGAAUCAAUUCCUUUCGGUUGCAACUAGCUGGAGGGGGUCCUGUUCUCUACCGCUGACCCCUGACUCACUCGGGUUUCCACGUCCACGGCCUCCAGCUCCUUUCCCAUGCCUCCCCUGCCAUCCCACGCCAUCCCAUCUCAUCAUCUUUCUUUUUUAUUUCUUUUGUCUUUUUGCCAUUUCUUGGGCUGCUCCCGCUGCAUAUGGAGGUUCCCAGGCUAAGGGUCCAGUCAGAGCUGUGGCCACCUGCCUACACCUGAGCCACAGCAACACGGGAUCCGAGCCGUGUCUGCAACCUACACCACAGCUCACGGCAACGCCGAAUCCUUAACCCACUGCACAAGGCCAGGGAUGGAACCUGCAACCUCAUGGUUCCUAGUUGGAUUCCUUAACCACUGAGCCACGACGGGAACUCCCAUCUCAUCUUUCUUAUGCAGUAACUCCUACUCAUGCCUUAAGAUCCCAUUCAGAGGUCACCGCCUCCACGAAGCUUUCCCUGAUAUGUAUGUCACCUCUAUAUCCUUCCUGUCCCAUGACACCCAGUGCUUCCCUUCACAGCCUCUUUUUCUUUGUCUCCUUCUUCCACUGGACUCUGAGCUGCUGAAGCUAAGGACCAUCUUUUCUUGAGGUUCAGGCAAAACAUACGGUACCUAGAGAUUAUCAUACUAAGUGAAGUCAGACAAAGAUACAUAUCAUGUGAUAUCACUUGUGUAUGGGACCUAAAAAUGAUACAAAUGAGCUUAUCUACAAAAUAGAAAUGGAUUCACAGUCAGAGAAAAUAAUCUUACGGUUACCAGAGGGGAAAGGGACUAGGGGAGGAAUGGGUAAAUUAGGAGUUUAACAGAUACGCACUACUCUGCAUGAAAUAGAUCACCAAUAAGGAUUUACUGUAUAGCACAGGGAACUUCUGCAUGAAAAAAAAAAAAAAAAAAGACAAAAGACAAAAAACGACUCAGGCUUUGGUGGCGGUUGGGGCUACUUUCCUUCCCAAUAUAUCUGGGUGCCUGUGCUGCCCACUCACCUCACCGGGUCAGGGCACCUCUCUGCCCUCCAGCUGAGCUGAGCAUCAUAACCACCCUGUCUUCACCCAACUGCCAAGUCCAUGCAGCAAGGAGCACUGUCACCCUGCAGAGCGAGAGUACCGUGGCUGAGGGGGCCCGGAGCGCUCACCCAGCACCUUUUAUUUUUCAGGCUUGAAUCCAUCCAGCAGCCCCGCCUGCCUUCCACUAGGCGCGGUGGAAAUGCUUCCUGUUUAUGACUCCCUGUCUUGUGUCCCCAGAACUCAGAGAGGUGGAGUUUCCGACCUGACACCAGGGACGGCUUCAGAUUUAUCUAGUUCAGCAGACCCUUGUCAGUGGCCUGUGGCUUUGGGGGGUGGCCGUGGGUGGGCUCCAGGUGGGGGACGCAGGCGGCUCGGGUUCCCUUUGGGGCACAUAAAUUUGACCUUGUUAAGGAAAACUGCAGGGACAGGGGAUGAAGGUGAUUAGGUUACAAAAGCGCACCCUUCCCCGGGCUUCCAUGGGAGGCCUGAGGCACACAAAAGGCCAGGGGAGCCUGGGGCGGGGGAGGUGGGGGAGGGGCUACUAGGGCCCCGCCCAUCCAGAGGUCACCCUUCUCUUUAAACAGAUUGCCAAGUGGAGGGGCCCAGGUAAAAUCCCACCAGAAACGCUCUCUCUUGGUGGCGAGUACCUGGAAAUGUGGUGAGCCUGUGAUUUUAUCAGAAAUAAAUACAGUGCGGAGUUCCCGGGGUGGCCCAGGGGAAAGGAAUCCGACUGGGAACCAUGAGGCUGGGGGUUCGAUCCCUGACCUCGCUCAGUGGGUGAAGGAUCCGGCAUUGCCGUGAGCUGUGGUCUAGGUCGCAGACGCGGCUCCAAUCCCGCGUUGCUGUGGCUGUGGUGUAGGCCGGCAGCUGUAGCUCCAAUUGGACCCCUGGCCUGGGAACCUCCAUAUGCCGCAGGUGUGGCCCUGAAAAGACAAAAGACAAAAAAUAAAUAAAUAAAUACAGUGGAAUUGAAACAUAGGAAAAAAAAAUACUAAAAGAAAGCAGGUGCUAUGGUACCAGUGGGAAAUCCUUACCUUGCAAUUAUAGGUAAUUUACAUUUCUUUUUUAUACUUUUUUUUUGGUAAUUUCCAAAUUUUCCACAGUGACUACAAGUUAUUGUUAAACCCGAGCAGAAAGUGACAGAAAAAAGAAUAGAGGGAAGGGGAUAUACACGUCUUUUGAGAAAUAAUUGUUCUAUAAUGCUUUAUACUGUAUAGUCAAUAGAAUCUCCGUUUAGUAAAACAAAAAGAAUAAAUGGUGGAAAGACG